rnacentral:rRNA from 1 species
AACGCNUGGCNGCGUGAUAGCAAUACUCCAUAGCUGUCCCCACCGGCUGCAGAGAACACAGUAUCGUAAUCUGCCCUUGAGUGGGGGAUAACCCGGGGAAACCCGGACUAAUACCGCAUGAUCUUUUCGGAGCAAAGAGGGGGACCGCAAGGCCUCUCGCUCUUGGAGGAGCCUACGUCUGAUUAACUAGUUGGUAGGGUAAAGGCCUACCAAGGCGACUAUCAGUAACUGGUCUGAUAGGAUGAUCAGCCACACCGGAACUGAGACACUGUCCGGACUCCUACGGGAGGCAGCAGUGGGGAAUAUUGGACAAUGGGCGCAAGCCUGAUCCACCAAUGCCCCGUGUGUGAAGAAGGCCUUCGGGUUGUAAAGCACUUUAGCCUGGAAAGAAAACGCUUUGGCUAACAUCCAAAGUCUUGACGGUACCAUGAGAAUAAGCACCGGCUAACUCUGUGCCA